rnacentral:rRNA from 1 species
AUAAUUUAGCUAAGAUAUUUUGAUGAAUAUUUAUAUAAUAUUAACAUAAUUCAUAUUACUAUUUUUUUUAGUAUAUGAAAUUUUACUUUGAGAAAAUUAGAGUGCUUAAAGCAGGCAUAUGCCUUGAAUACUCCAGCAUGGAAUAAUAUUAAAGAUUUUUAUCUUUUUUAUUGGUUCUAAGAUAAGAAUAAUGAUUAAUAGGGACAGUUGGGGGCAUUUGUAUUUAACAGUCAGAGGUGAAAUUCUUAGAUUUGUUAAAGACAAACUAAUGCGAAAGCAUUUGCCAAGGAUGUUUUCAUUAAUCAAGAACGAAAGUUAGGGGAUCGAAGACGAUCAGAUACCGUCGUAGUCUUAACCAUAAACUAUGCCAAAUAGCCAACUAACAAUAU